UCAAUGAUUUGCUCUAAUUCCAAGCAGUUAUCAAUAACCAGCUUCUCCAAUUGCAACAAAUUUCGAGCAAGUGUUGAUGAGAAGAGACGUCUCAGCAUAGUGCACCCGUCCACUCUUAAAUAGGUAAGAUUUUGCAGGCUAAAAUUAUGCGUGGGACCUACAGGUUGGAGAUGCUCCUCAUCCUCAUCCUCAGUAAUGAUUUGCUCUAAUUCCCGGCAAUUAUAAAUUUCCAACUUCUCCAAUUGCAACAGAUUUCGAGCAAGUGUUGAUGAGAAGAGACGUCUCAGCAUAGUGCACCCGUGCACUCUUAAACAGGUAAGACUUUGCAGGCUAAAAUUAUGCGUGGGACCUACAGGUUGGAGAUGCUCCUCAUCCUCAUCCUCAGCAAUGAUUUGCUCUAAUUCCCAGCAAUUAUAAAUUUCUAACUUCUCUAAUUGCAACAGAUUUCGAGCAAG
rnacentral:lncRNA from 1 species